AUUGAACGCUGGCGGAAUGCUUUACACAUGCAAGUCGAACGGCAGCACGGACUUCGGUCUGGUGGCGAGUGGCGAACGGGUGAGUAAUAUAUCGGAACGUAUCCAAUAAUGGGGGAUAACUAAUCGAAAGGUUGGCUAAUACCGCAUACGUCCUACGGGAGAAAGCUAGGGACCUUCGGGCCUGGCGUUAAUGGAGCGGCCGAUAUCGGAUUAGCUAGUUGGUGAGGUAAAGGCUCACCAAGGCGACGAUCCGUAGCUGGUCUGAGAGGACGACCAGCCACACUGGAACAGAGACACGGUCCAGACUCCUACGGGGGGCAGCAGUGGGGAAUUUUGGACGAUGGGCGAAAGCCUGAUCCAGCCAUUCCGCGGGAGUGAAGAAGGCCUUCGGGUUGUAAAGCUCUUUCGCAAGAGAAGAAAACUUACCCUCUAACAUAGGGUGAGGUUGACGGUAUCUUGAUAAGAGGCACCGGCUAACUACGUGCCAGCAGCCGCCGUAA
rnacentral:rRNA from 1 species